rfam:Hordeum vulgare subsp. vulgare, WGS project CAJW01000000 data, contig: morex_contig_40385
UAUAUACUUUCUCCGUUCGAAAUACUUGUCAUAUAAAUGAAUGUAUCUAGAUGUAUUUUAGUUCUAGAUACAUCUAUUUUCAUUCAUUUAUGCGACAAGUAAUUUCGGACGGGAGGAGUAUCUA